CUCUGAGGUCUGGGGUCUUCCAAUGACCCAGCUUUGGAGAGAGAACAAAAUUUAGCAGCUUUUCUCUGGCUGUCUGUUUUCUUGAUUUACAUUUACAUGGACAGCGUAGGCUGCAUAAAGCAAAAAUUGGGAUAGACCAGGGACCACGCAGAGCUUGUUCAGUGACUUUGCAGUUAUACCACAGAUGCAGCCUGGAUGAUUAACCUACAGAGAGGAAAAGCAGAUCAUCUGGAAACAGGACCAGCAGUCUUUCCUCAGAGUCCUGUGGAAAAGAGGCAUCUCAGAGCCAGCAAA